GUAAGGGUCGACCUUCUUCCGGAAAAAGAGGGCUUGCUCGCCCCCGUCUUUCCUUUCGUCUUUUGCGCAAACCAAACACCCCACAUUCCCGGGUAUGGAGCCACCUUCUUCACCCCGACAUGCUACUUCCAUUGGCCACUGAAAGCCUAGGGGAUGGUACCUCAGAACCACCCAGCUUCCACAGUAGUCCCGGUAGCAACCCGACUUGCUAGAAAAAGGUCCGCCUUCUUGUACUGAAGCGAGUAGAGGAAGUCACCACCUAUUUGUGUGACUCCUUUCUUUCCCGGACCCGGCGCUUUUCCCGUCAAAGUUCUAGCCCCACUCAGAAUGGUUACUGGACAAGGGAGCGGACAACUACUUCCGCUGAAACUGUAUGCACCGUAAGAUU
rnacentral:lncRNA from 1 species